CCUACGGGAGGCAGCAGUGAGGAAUAUUGGUCAAUGGGCGGAAGCCUGAACCAGCCAAGUCGCGUGAGGGAAUAAGGCCCUACGGGUCGUAAACCUCUUUUGCCGGGGAGCAAGGGCGGGGACGUGUCCCGGCCCGGAGAGUACCCGGAGAAAAAGCAGCGGCUAACUCCGUGCCAGCAGCCGCGGUAAUACGGCGGAUGCGAGCGUUAUCCGGAUUUAUUGGGGUGAAAGGGUGCGUAGGCGGGCUUGGAAGUCAGCGGUCACAAUUCGGGGCUCAACCCCGUCCGGCCGUUGAAACUGGGGGCCUUGAGUGGGCGAGACGCAGGCGGAAUGCGUGGUGUAGCGGUGACAUGCAUCGAUCUCACGCAGAACCCCGAUUGCGAAGGCAGCCUUCCGGCGCCCUCCUGACGCUGAGGCACGAAAGUGCGGGGAUCGAACAGGAUUAGAUACCCCAGUAGUC
rnacentral:rRNA from 1 species